GCGGGCGUAGCUCAGUUGGUUAGAGCGCUUCCCUGUCACGGAAGAGGUCGCCGGUUCGAGUCCGGUCGCCCGCG
rfam:Candidatus Sungbacteria bacterium RIFCSPHIGHO2_02_FTLL_52_23 rifcsphigho2_02_scaffold_29749, whole genome shotgun sequence.